rnacentral:misc_RNA from 1 species
AUGGUUGGGCUCGGUAAUUUCAACAAAUGCAAAACUUUGGAGAUUCAUCAUUUUGCAUGUCAAAGAUUCAAGAUGAUUGCCCGUCAACACAGCUGAAAUAACAUGUAAGGUUCUAAUCCAAUGGUCUUCAAAAGUAUUUACCAAAUUGCGAAGACCUUGCCAAAACAACUGAACCGAGUUCCUCCUGAAUGUAGAUACAAGUUAUUGGCAGAAGGAUAACAUACUCCAAAUUUAUUCAUUUCCUCCUAUUUUACAUAUCAAAUUCCAAGAUAGAAGAACAUGUUAAGUUGCAGGGCAAAGCACUUCGUCACUAAAAAGAAUAGCAACAAAAAUAUUGGGUAUCAUUUUUAAAAUUCAUCUAUACAUAAAAUUUUACUUGUAUAGAAUAAAUAUAGUAAUGCAUGUUUGUACAACAAAAUGGUAUUCCAGAAAUGUCAUGUAGGCAACAAACAAUAACUGAUUUUGAGUUUCUAAGAGGAGAAAUUCAUCUGCAGCGCAUAUAUAUAUGGAGAUUUACAAGAAUCAGAACCUCAUCCUCCACAAGUAGAUGAAAAAUUCAACGCAAAAACCACCACAAUCACAUAAUCCAAGCCUUUAUUGAUGCCUACAUUCACAACAUCAUAUUCAGCAUUAGUAGAAGAAAACUUGAGCGCUUGCAUUUCCCCUCUUUUCAUGCGUGGAUAAGACAAUGGUUUGCAAAUUUACCAUCUACAGCUGUCCCCAAAAAACCACAUCCACUCGCCCACUUUUGCUUCCAACCUUUUCCAAUUCUUACUACAGUUACUGGGGUAUCCAGCUGCACAACCAAGUUAACAACCAAGCUUGAACCACUGGAUUUAAGAAACCCCUUAGGUUUAUCAAACUAGAUAGUAGUGUCAUAAUUGGAGCAAAUAGGAAUUGCCAAUCAGAUACUAAUUGCAAAAAAGUGGCAUAAGCAUGCUUAAAACACACUUCAACACAUUUUUAAGAAAUUAAAACCCUAAUACGUGUUUCUUCUAUUGGUAUAUAUAUGUCCCAGAUUUUGAUUCAAAAAGAAAUGCUAUCAAGAAUAAAGAAGUGAAGGUAGCAGGAAGUGAAUAGAAGUGCAUGCACAAGUGUGUGUGUGUGUGUGUG